rnacentral:rRNA from 1 species
AUUGAACGCUGGCGGCAUGCCUUACACAUGCAAGUCGAACGGCAGCACGGGAGCAAUCCUGGUGGCGAGUGGCGAACGGGUGAGUAAUAUAUCGGAACGUGCCCGGUCGUGGGGAUAACGUAGCGAAAGCUACGCUAAUACCGCAUACGAUCUACGGAUGAAAGCGGGGGAUCGCAAGACCUCGCGCGAUUGGAGCGGCCGAUAUCAGAUUAGGUAGUUGGUGAGGUAAAGGCUCACCAAGCCGACGAUCUGUAGCUGGUCUGAGAGGACGACCAGCCACACUGGGACUGAGACACGGCCCAGACUCCUACGGGAGGCAGCAUGGGAAUUUUGGACAAUGGGCGCAAGCCUGAUCCAGCAAUGCCGCGUGCAGGA